rnacentral:tRNA from 1 species
GAGGGUACAGCUCAAGUGGUAGAGCAUGUGCUUAGCAUGCAUGAGGUCCUGGGUUCAAUCCCCAGUACCUCCU